UUUAAAUUAUUUUAUUAAAUAAAUUAAAAUUAUUACUAAAAAUAAAAAUAAAUUUUUAAAUAAAAUAUAAUUAUUAUUUAAUAAUAAAAAUAAAUUUAUAAUUAAUUUUAAGUUAAUAUAAAAAUUAUUAAUUAUUGUGCCAGCAAAAGCGGUUAUACAAUAAAUUAUUUAAUUAAAUUAAAUAUAUUAAUAUUAUAUCAAAUUUAAAUAUAUAUAUAAAUAAUAGUAAAAUAUAAUUAUUAUAUUAAAAUAUUUUAAAUAUUUAAAAUAAAAAAAUUACUAGGAUUAGAUACCCUAUUCUUAUAAAUUAUUAAAAGUAAAAUUACCUAAAUUGAAAAAAUGAUAGUAUUAAAAAUUUAGAUAAACCUAUAAAUUAAUUUGAUUCUUAACAAUAAAAUAAACUUAAAUUUUAUAUUUAUAUACUACUAAAUUAAUUAUAUAAAUCUAUAUAAAAAUUUUUAAUAAAAAUAAAUUUUAAGUCAAAGUAUAAUUAAUAUUUAAGAUUUAUAGGGUUGCAUUAAAAAUUUUUUUUAUUUUUUAAAAAAAGUUUUAGAAUUUAAAAAUAAAUUUAUUAAAUUAUUUAAAUUUAAUAAAAAUUUAAUAUAUACAUAUUGCCCGUCAUUUUUAAAAAACUUAAAAAAAGUCGUAACAAAGUAAAAUUACUGGAAAGUAAUUUUU
rnacentral:rRNA from 1 species